GAUGAACGCUGGCGGCGUGCCUAACACAUGCAAGUCGAGCGAGGGUUUGCUCAGUAUUGAGUAUUCUAAGACUAGAAUGUUCAAUUCUGAGCAAAACCAAGCGGCGGACGGGUGAGUAACGCGUGGGUAACCUGCCCUAUACACAUGGAUAACAUACUGAAAAGUUUACUAAUACAUGAUAAUAUAUAUUUGCGGCAUCGCAGAUAUAUCAAAGUGUUAGCGGUAUAGGAUGGACCCGCGUCUGAUUAGCUAGUUGGUGAGAUAACUGCCCACCAAGGCGACGAUCAGUAGCCGACCUGAGAGGGUGAUCGGCCACAUUGGAACUGAGACACGGUCCAAACUCCUACGGGAGGCAGCAGUGGGGAAUAUUGCACAAUGGGCGAAAGCCUGAUGCAGCAACGCCGCGUGAACGAUGAAGGUCUUCGGAUCGUAAAGUUCUGUUGCAGGGGAAGAUAAU
rnacentral:rRNA from 1 species